rnacentral:rRNA from 1 species
AGUCGAACGGUAACAGGAAACAGCUUGCUGUUUCGCUGACGAGUGGCGGACGGGUGAGUAAUGUCUGGGAAACUGCCUGAUGGAGGGGGAUAACUACUGGAAACGGUAGCUAAUACCGCAUAACGUCGCAAGACCAAAGAGGGGGACCUUCGGGCCUCUUGCCAUCAGAUGUGCCCAGAUGGGAUUAGCUAGUAGGUGGGGUAACGGCUCACCUAGGCGACGAUCCCUAGCUGGUCUGAGAGGAUGACCAGCCACACUGGAACUGAGACACGGUCCAGACUCCUACGGGAGGCAGCAGUGGGGAAUAUUGCACAAUGGGCGCAAGCCUGAUGCAGCCAUGCCGCGUGUAUGAAGAAGGCCUUCGGGUUGUAAAGUACUUUCAGCGGGGAGGAAGGGAGUAAAGUUAAUACCUUUGCUCAUUGACGUUACCCGCAGAAGAAGCACCGGCUAACUCCGUGCCAGCAGCCGCGGUAAUACGGAGGGUGCAAGCGUUAAUCGGAAUUACUGGGCGUAAAGCGCACGCAGGCGGUUUGUUAAGUCAGAUGUGAAAUCCCCGGGCUCAACCUGGGAACUGCAUCUGAUACUGGCAAGCUUGAGUCUCGUAGAGGGGGGUAGAAUUCCAGGUGUAGCGGUGAAAUGCGUAGAGAUCUGGAGGAAUACCGGUGGCGAAGGCGGCCCCCUGGACGAAGACUGACGCUCAGGUGCGAAAGCGUGGGG